AUCACCAGGGAAGCCUUGGGAAGCGGAAACUCCUAGGUGUUCAGAUGCUUCAUGAGCAAGGAAUGUUUGUGGCCCCACAGGGCUCUGGGACACAGCAUAAAAGCCUGCGCUGCUCCAGGCUCUGCAUCCUCCUCUCUUGCUUCACUUUCCUCGAGGAACGAGGUUGUCCCUGCAAUUGAACAGUUGAAGGGCUGUCACCUCUGUCCCUUUUGCUGGACGUGGCUGCAGAAAAAUGGGAAGAGGGUGUUCUUUCAAGCAGAAGGGUAUCAAUGGGGUUCAGCUGUAGGGGUGUCUGCCUCACCAGAACUUACGCCUGCAGCAGAUGCUCUCUAAUCAAAUGGCCAAGUGCUUCAUCAAUGCAACAACUGUUGUUCUGGACAUGGGUAAUGCUCAGGUGCUUUAAACCCACUGUGCUUGAUCCUAUCCUAAAGUGGGUCAGCGUUCCUGCACUGUGCAACUCAGAGGAGUGCAUUACAAGCUGUAGGAAGACUGUGUGUGUUUAAGAGGUGAUUUCUGAGACACCCAUUCAACGCAGCCCAUUUGUGCUGGGAUACUUGCAUCAAUCUUCAUCUGUGCUAUUGUACUGGGAAAUGCAGUAGGAGGUCCUGGUGCAAUCAGCAGCCAGUUAGGCACUUCUUUGCUCCCAGUGCUUCAAAUCCAACCUUAGGGGGAUAUAUCACGUACGUUGUGUGUGUUAGAAAGAUCAGGUGCAGGCAUUUUCUGCAUGUGGGGAUCGAAUGGGGAUGGAGAGCAGCCAAGUGUAUCUGCAGAGAGAGCUGUGGACAUGAGAGCCAAGUUGAUGUUUUGGUCUGUGUUUCCUUCCUGCUCUGUGUUGCAGCUUUGCUUCCUUCACCGAGAGAUGUCUUGCUUCAGACCCUGUCCCCCACGGCCCUGCUGUGCCUCUGGCCCAACCCCACUUGCAAGCAGCUGCAGUGAGCCCUGUGUCGCCCGCUGCGCUGACUCGACUGUGUUCAUCGAGCCCUCGCCGGUGGUGGUGACCCUGCCGGGCCCCAUCCUCACCUCUUUCCCUCAGAGCACCGCUGUGGGAUCGUCUCUGUCAGCUGCUGUUGGGAGCUCCCUCAGUGCCGGGGGAGUUCCCAUCUCUUCUGGGGGCUCCCUUGGUCUGGGCGGGUCCGGGAUGUGUCUGCCGCUCCCCCGCUGCAGUCUGAACUGCUGAAGCCGGUGGCUCAUCACCUCGGGAGCAGGACGGAAGACGGGACCCUGCAGCAGCAGGUCAUGGACAUGUCUUACAGACAGGCUGGGUGUCCUCAUGCCACCUGGCAGGACGGACCUGUGCCCACUUCUCCUCGCUGCACGGCUGGUGUGGCCAUGUCUCCUCUGGCUCUGCUUUGCUCUGAACUCUUCGGAAAGGUCUUAUUCUCUUCUGCUUUGCUGAACCCCCUGCUGAAGGGGAGAGGGUGCUGGAGUUAGGGAUCGCUCUUGGUGGGCUGCCGUUGCCAGCAGGGAGAGCAGAAUGGGAAAAGGCAAGCGCUUUGUAUGCAGCUUGUCCUUGGGAAAUGGGCCAUCCUCUGUGCGUCCCUCAAUCCUGCAGAUGUGUUUCUUGGUCUCUGUUCUGUGCCACUGCAUUUCCUCCUUCUCAUUAAAGGUUUUGUGCAUCAUA